rnacentral:rRNA from 1 species
GAAUUCGCCCUUAGAGUUUGAUCCUGGCUCAGGAUUAACGCUGGCGGCGUGCAUAACACAUUCAAGUCGAACGGUGACGGGGGCUUCGGUCCCCUGAUCAGUGGCGGACGGGUGAGUAACGCGUGAGCAAUCUACCUCCAGGUGAGGGAUAACAACCGGAAACAGUUGCUAAUACCUCAUGACAUAUACACUUCGCAUGGAGAGUAUAUCAAAGGCUUGCUGCCUGGAGAUGAGCUUGCGUCCGAUUAGCUAGUUGGUGAGGUAACGGCCCACCAAGGCGACGAUCGGUAGCCGGACUGAGAGGUUGAACGGCCACAUUGGAACUGAGAUACGGUCCAGACUCCUACGGGAGGCAGCAGUGGGGAAUAUUGGGCAAUGGGCGAAAGCCUGACCCAGCGACGCCGCGUGAGGGAAGAAGAUCUUCGGAUUGUAAACCUUAGUCAACAGGGAAGAAGAAAGUGACGGUACCUGUGGAGGAAGCCACGGCUAACUACGUGCCAGCAGCCGCGGUAAUACGUAGGUGGCGAGCGUUAUCCGGAAUUACUGGGUGUAAAGGGCGUGUAGGCGGUUUGGCAAGUUGGUAGCGUAAUUCCGGGGCUUAACUUCGGAGCUACUACCAAAACUGCUAGGCUUGAGUGCGGCAGGGGUAUGUGGAAUUCCUAGUGUAGCGGUGGAAUGCGUAGAUAUUAGGAGGAACACCAGAGGCGAAAGCGACAUACUGGGCCGUAACUGACGCUGAGGCACGAAAGCGUGGGGAGCAAACAGGAUUAGAUACCCUGGUAGUCCACGCUGUAAACGAUGAAUACCAGGUGUAGGUGGUAUCGACUCCAUCUGUGCCGACGCAAACGCAUUAAGUAUUCCGCCUGGGGACUACGGCCGCAAGGUUGAAACUCAAAGAAAUUGACGGGGACCCGCACAAGCAGCGGAGCAUGGGGUUUAAUUCGAAGCAACGCGAAGAACCUUACCAGAACUUGACAUCGAGUGAAGAACCUUGUAAUGAGGUUCGUCCUUCGGGACACGAAGACAGGUGUUGCAUGGUUGUCGUCAGCUCGUGUCGUGAGAUGUUAGGUUAAGUCCUGCAACGAGCGCAACCCUCGUGUACAGUUGCCAAUAUUAAGUUAGGAACUCUGUACAGACCGCCGUGGUUAACACGGAGGAAGGUGGGGAUGACGUCAAAUCAUCACGGCCCUUACGUUCUGGGCCACACCCGUGCUACAAUGGCUAUUACAAAGAGCAGCGAAACGGUAACGUGGAGCGAAUCUCAUAAAGAUAGUCUCAGUUCAGAUUGUGGGCUGCAACUCGCCCACAUGAAGUAGGAGUUGCUAGUAAUCCCGAAUCAGCAUGUCGGGGUGAAUGCGUUCCCGGGUCUUGCACACACCGCCCGUCA